rnacentral:rRNA from 1 species
GAUGAACGCUGGCGGCGUGCCUAAUACAUGCAAGUCGAGCGAAUGGAUUAAGAGCUUGCUCUUAUGAAGUUAGCGGCGGACGGGUGAGUAACACGUGGGUAACCUGCCCAUAAGACUGGGAUAACUCCGGGAAACCGGGGCUAAUACCGGAGAAUAUUUUGAACUGCAUGGUUCAAAAUUGAAAGGCGGCUUCGGCUGUCACUUAUGGCUGGAACCGCGUCGCAUUAGCUAGUUGGUGAGGUAACGGCUCACCAAGGCAACGAUGCGUAGCCGACCUGAGAGGGUGAUCGGCCACACUGGGACUGAGACACGGCCCAGACUCCUACGGGAGGCAGCAGUAGGGAAUCUUCCGCAAUGGACGAAAGUCUGACGGAGCAACGCCGCGUGAGUGAUGAAGGCUUUCGGGUCGUAAAACUCUGUUGUUAGGGAAGAACAAGUGCUAGUUGAAUAAGCUGGCACCUUGACGGUACCUAACCAGAAAGCCACGGCUAACUACGUGCCAGCCGCCGCAGUAA